UUGAUCCUGGCUCAGGAUGAACGCUAGCUACAGGCUUAACACAUGCAAGUCGAGGGGCAGCAUUGGAGUAGCAAUACUUCAGAUGGCGACCGGCGCACGGGUGAGUAACACGUAUCCAACCUGCCGUUUACUCGGGGAUAGCCUUUCGAAAGAAAGAUUAAUACCCGAUGGUAUAAAGAGUUCGCAUGUUCUCUUUAUUAAAGAAUUUCGGUAAGCGAUGGGGAUGCGUUCCAUUAGAUUGUUGGCGGGGUAGCGGCCCACCAAGUCUACGAUGGAUAGGGGUUCUGAGAGGAAGGUCCCCCACAUUGGAACUGAGACACGGUCCAAAUCCUACGGGAGGCAGCAGUGAGGAAUAUUGGUCAAUGGACGCGAGUCUGAACCAGCCAAGUAGCGUGAAGGAUGACUGCCCUAUGGGUUGUAAACUUCUUUUAUAAGGGAAUAAAGUGAGGGACGUGUCCCUUUUUGUAUGUACCUUAUGAAUAAGGAUCGGCUAACUCCGUGCCAGCAGCCGCGGUAAUACGGAGGAUCCAAGCGUUAUCCGGAUUUAUUGGGUUUAAAGGGAGCGUAGGUUGACAUAUAAGUCAGCUGUGAAAGUUUACGGCUCAACCGUGAAAUUGCAGUUGAUACUGUAUGUCUUGAGUGUACAAGAGGUGGGCGGAAUUCGUGGUGUAGCGGUGAAAUGCUUAGAUAUCACGAAGAACUCCAAUUGCGAAGGCAGCUCACUGGGGUACAACUGACACUGAGGCUCGAAAGUGUGGGUAUCAAACAGGAUUAGAUACCCUGGUAGUCCACACAGUAAACGAUGAAUACUCGCUGUUUGCGAUAUACAGUAAGCGGCCAAGCGAAAGCAUUAAGUAUUCCACCUGGGGAGUACGCCGGCAACGGUGAAACUCAAAGGAAUUGACGGGGGCCCGCACAAGCGGAGGAACAUGUGGUUUAAUUCGAUGAUACGCGAGGAACCUUACCCGGGCUUGAAUUGCAGAGGAAUAUAGUUGAAAGAUUAUAGCCGCAAGGCCUCUGUGAAGGUGCUGCAUGGUUGUCGUCAGCUCGUGCCGUGAGGUGUCGGCUUAAGUGCCAUAACGAGCGCAACCCUUAUCAUUAGUUACUAACAGGUCAUGCUGAGGACUCUAGUGAGACUGCCGUCGUAAGAUGUGAGGAAGGUGGA
rnacentral:rRNA from 1 species